rnacentral:rRNA from 1 species
AGAAGAGGACAGUGGAACUCCAUGUGUAGCGGUGGGAAUGCGUAGAUAUAUGGAAGAACACCAGUGGCGAAGGCGGCUGUCUAGUCUGUAACUGACGCUGAGGCUCGAAAGCAUGGGUAGCGAACAGGAUUAGAUACCCUGGUAGUCCAUGCCGUAAACGAUGAGUGCUAAGUGUUGGAGGGUUUCCGCCCUUCAGUGCUGCAGCUAACGCAUUAAGCACUCCGCCUGGGGAGUACGACCGCAAGGUUGAAACUCAAAGGAAUUGACGGGGGCCCGCACAAGCGGUGGAGCAUGUGGUUUAAUUCGAAGCUACGCGAAGAACCUUACCAGGUCUUGACAUCUUCUGCCAAUCUUAGAGAUAAGACGUUCCCUUCGGGGACAGAAUGACAGGUGGUGCAUGGUUGUCGUCAGCUCGUGUCGUGAGAUGUUGGGUUAAGUCCCGCAACGAGCGCAACCCUUAUUAUCAGUUGCCAGCAUUCAGUUGGGCACUCUGGUGAGACUGCCGGUGACAAACCGGAGGAAGGUGGGGAUGACGUCAAAUCAUCAUGCCCCUUAUGACCUGGGCUACACACGUGCUACAAUGGAUGGUACAACGAGUUGCGAACUCGCGAGAGUAAGCUAAUCUCUUAAAGCCAUUCUCAGUUCGGAUUGUAGGCUGCAACUCGCCUACAUGAAGUCGGAAUCGCUAGUAAUCGCGGAUCAGCAUGCCGCGGUGAAUACGUUCCCGGGCCUUGUACACACCGCCCGUCACACCAUGAGAGUUUGUAACACCCAAAGUCGGUGGGGUAACCUUUUAGGAACCAGCCGCCUAAGGUGGGACAGAUGAUUAGGGUGAAGUCGUAACAAGGUAGCCGUA